UUGUAGUCCCAAAACAUCUGGAGGGCCUGCUCUACAGCAUGUACAGAAACUGCCUUCUUGACCGCUGAACCCACUAUUGGUCUUGUCUGCUCAAUGUAUCGGAACCUGUCUUCACAUGCAGGGCGUGUCCCAAGCUCACUGAUAGUUUGAGACCCAUUGGCUACCCACACCUGGUUUAGCUGGCCAGUGGAAGCCGUUCCAGGGGGUGGCUUCUGUCACAUUCUGACAGCUUCUAGGAGCCACCGUUGAGAGCUGAACGCAAGGUGGAGAUGUGUUAAAUUAUGCUCAUAGAGCUAACUUGAUAAAUUUAAAGCCAGAGCAGCCCUCUUCGGUUGUAUUUUU